GACAGAGGGAUCAAGCGUUAUCCGGAAUGAUUGGGCGUAAACGCGUCUGUAGGUGGCUUUUCAAGUCCGCCGUCAAAUCCCAGGGCUCCAACCCUGGACAGGCGGUGGAAACUACCAAGCCUGGAGUACGGUAGGGGCAGAGGGAAUUUCCGGUGGAGCGGUGAAAUGCAUUGAGAUCGGAAAGAACACCAACGGCGAAAGCACUCUGGCUGGGCCGACCACUGACACUGAGAGACGAAAGCUAGGGGAGCAAAUGGG
rnacentral:rRNA from 1 species